GAUGAACGCUGGCGGCGUGCCUCAAACAUGCAAGUCGAGCGGGGCUAUGUAAUACCGCAAGGUAGAACAUAGCCUAGCGGCGAACGGGUGAGUAACACGUGGGUAACCUGCCUGGAAGACAGGGAUAACGAUUCGAAAGGGUCGCUAAUACCUGAUAAUAUCCUUUCAUCGCAUGGUGAUAGGAAGAAAGGGGAAACCCGCUUUCAGAUGGGCCCGCGUCCCAUCAGCUAGUUGGUAAGGUAAAGGCUUACCAAGGCGACGACGGGUAGCCGGUCUGAGAGGAUGUACGGCCACACUGGGACUGAGAUACGGCCCAGACUCCUACGGGAGGCAGCAGUUGGGAAUCUUAGGCAAUGGACGAAAGUCUGACCUAGCGACGCCGCGUGAGGGAAGAAGGCCUUGGGUUGUAAACCUCUGUCAUGGGGGAAGAAGUAAGUGACGGUACCCAAGAGGAAGCCCCUGCUAACUACGUG
rnacentral:rRNA from 1 species